CGCGUAGGCGGCCUGGUAAGUCUGGAGUGAAAGUCCUGCUUUUAAGGUGGGAAUUGCUUUGGAUACUGCUGGGCUUGAGUGCAGGAGAGGUAAGUGGAAUUUCCUGUGUAGCGGUGAAAUGCGUAGAUAUAGGAAGGAACACCAGUGGCGAAGGCGACCACCUGGACUGAUACUGACACUGAGGUGCGAAAGCGUGGGAGCAAACA
rnacentral:rRNA from 1 species